GCGAGCGGCUGGCGUAGGCUUGGUGGACUGUCACUGCCACCUCUCCGCCCCGGACUUUGACCGCGAUUUGGAUGAUGUGUUGGAGAAAGCCAAGAAGGCCAAUGUUGUGGCCCUUGUGGCAGUUGCCGAACAUUCAGGAGAAUUUGAAAAGAUUAUGCAACUUUCAGAAAGGUAUAAUGGGUUUGUCCUGCCAUGCUUGGGUGUUCAUCCAGUUCAAGGACUUCCACCAGAAGACCAAAGAAGUGUCACACUAAAGGAUUUGGAUGUAGCUUUGCCCAUUAUUGAGAAUUAUAAGGAUCGGUUGUUGGCAAUUGGAGAGGUUGGACUAGAUUUCUCCCCCAGAUUUGCUGGCACUGGUGAACAGAAGGAAGAGCAAAGACAAGUCCUAAUCAGACAGAUCCAGUUAGCCAAAAGACUAAAUUUGCCUGUGUAGGUUAAUUAUUUUCCUAUGUUAAUAGCUAUAGAGCAAAUUAAAUAAUGAUCAGAGUUCUCCUGAAA
rnacentral:lncRNA from 1 species